AGACGAGUGGCGAACUGGUGAGUAACNCNUGNNUAACUUGCCCCGAAGCGGGGGAUAACAUUUGGAAACAGGUGCUAAUACCGCAUAACAACAAAAACCACAUGGUUUUUGUUUAAAAGAUGGUUUCGGCUAUCACUUUGGGAUGGACCCGCGGCGUAUUAGCUAGUUGGUGAGGUAAUGGCUCACCAAGGCAAUGAUACGUAGCCGACCUGAGAGGGUAAUCGGCCACAUUGGGACUGAGACACGGCCCAAACUCCUACGGGAGGCAGCAGUAGGGAAUCUUCCACAAUGGACGAAAGUCUGAUGGAGCAACGCCGCGUGAGUGAUGAAGGGUUUCGGCUCGUAAAACUCUGUUGUUGGAGAAGAACGGGUGUCAGAGUAACUGUUGACAUCGUGACGGUAUCCAACCAGAAAGCCACGGCUAACUACGUGCCAGCAGCCGCGGUAAUACGUAGGUGGCAAGCGUUGUCCGGAUUUAUUGGGCGUAAAGCGAGCGCAGGCGGUUUUUUAGGUCUGAUGUGAAAGCCUUCGGCUUAACCGGAGAAGUGCAUCGGAAACCGGGAGACUUGAGUGCAGAAGAGGACAGUGGAACUCCAUGUGUAGCGGUGAAAUGCGUAGAUAUAUGGAAGAACACCAGUGGCGAAGGCGGCUGUCUGGUCUGCAACUGACGCUGAGGCUCGAAAGCAUGGGUAGCGAACAGGAUUAGAUACCCUGGUAGUCCAUGCCGUAAACGAUGAGUGCUAAGUGUUGGAGGGUUUCCGCCCUUCAGUGCUGCAGCUAACGCAUUAAGCACUCCGCCUGGGGAGUACGACCGCAAGGUUGAAACUCAAAGGAAUUGACGGGGGCCCGCACAAGCGGUGGAGCAUGUGGUU
rnacentral:rRNA from 1 species